rnacentral:rRNA from 1 species
AAUGAACGCAGGCGGCAGGCCUAACACAUGCAAGUCGAGAGGAGCGGCGGACGGGUGAGUAAUGCCUAGGAAUCUGCGUGGUAGUGGGGGAUAACGUCAGGAAACGGGGGCUAAUGACGCCUACUAUCAGAUGAGCCUAGGUCGGGAUAGCUAGUUGGGUGGGUAAAGGCCUACCAAGGAGACGAUCCGUAACUGGUCUGAGAGGAUGAUCAGUCACAAUGGAACUGAGACACGGUCCCGACUCCUACGGGAGGCAGCAGUGGGGAAUAUUGCACAAUGGGCGCAAGCCUGAUGCAGCCAUGCCGCGUGUAUGAAGAAGGCUUUCGGGUUGUAAAGUACUUUCAGUCGGGAGGCGUUACCGACAGAAGAAGCACCGGCUAACUCCGUGCCAGCAGCCGCGGUAAUAC